rnacentral:rRNA from 1 species
GACGAACGCUGGCGGCGUGCCUAAUACAUGCAAGUCGAACGCAGUGGGGACGGGUGAGUAACACGUGGGUCACCUCCCCAUCAGAGGGGAUAACCCUUGGAAACAGGUGCUAAACCGAUACUGAAUGAUGGACCCGCGGUGCAUUAGCUAGUGGGUGAGGUAACGGCUCACCAAGGCGACGAUGCAUAGCCGAACUGAGAGAGUGACCGGCCACACUGGAACUGAGACACGGCCCAGACUCCUACGGGAGGCAGCAGUGGGGAAUCUUCGGCAAUGGACGAAAGUCUGACCGAGCAAUGCCGCGUGGGUGAAGAAGGUUUUCGGAUCGUAAAACUCUGUUAGCAGAGAAGCGGUAUCUAACCAGAAAGCCACGGCUAACUACGUGCCAGCAGCCGCGGUAAUUC